GGGCCCGUAGCUCAGCCAGGAUCAGAGCGCCGGCCUCCGGAGCCGGAGGACCCGGGUUCAAAUCCCGGCGGGCCCGCCA
rnacentral:tRNA from 1 species